rnacentral:rRNA from 1 species
UGGGGAAUAUUGCGCAAUGGGGGCAACCCUGACGCAGCCAUGCCGCGUGAAUGAAGAAGGCCUUCGGGUUGUAAAGUUCUUUCGGUAGCGAGGAAGGCACUUAGUUUAAUAGACUAGGUGAUUGACGUUAACUACAGAAGAAGCACCGGCUAACUCCGUGCCAGCAGCCGCGGUAAUACGGAGGGUGCGAGCGUUAAUCGGAAUAACUGGGCGUAAAGGGCACGCAGGCGGUGACUUAAGUGAGGUGUGAAAGCCCCGGGCUUAACCUGGGAAUUGCAUUUCAUACUGGGUCGCUAGAGUACUUUAGGGAGGGGUAGAAUUCCACGUGUAGCGGUGAAAUGCGUAGAGAUGUGGAGGAAUACCGAAGGCGAAGGCAGCCCCUUGGGAAUGUACUGACGCUCAUGUGCGAAAGCGUGGGGAGCAAACAGGAUUAGAUACCCUGGUAGUCCACGCUGUAAACGGUGUCGAUUUGGGGGUUGAACUUUAAGUUUGGCGCCCGUAGCUAACGUGAUAAAUCGACCGCCUGGGGAGUACGGCCGCAAGGUUA